CCUACGGGAGGCAGCAGUGGGGAAUUUUGGACAAUGGGCGAAAGCCUGAUCCAGCAAUGCCGCGUGAGUGAAGAAGGCCUUCGGGUUGUAAAGCUCUUUUGUCAGGGAAGAAACGGUGAGAGCUAAUAUCUUUUGCUAAUGACGGUACCUGAAGAAUAAGCACCGGCUAACUACGUGCCAGCAGCCGCGGUAAUACGUAGGGUGCAAGCGUUAAUCGGAAUUACUGGGCGUAAAGCGUGCGCAGGCGGUUUUGUAAGUCUGAUGUGAAAUCCCCGGGCUCAACCUGGGAAUUGCAUUGGAGACUGCAAGGCUAGAAUCUGGCAGAGGGGGGUAGAAUUCCACGUGUAGCAGUGAAAUGCGUAGAUAUGUGGAGGAACACCGAUGGCGAAGGCAGCCCCCUGGGUCAAGAUUGACGCUCAUGCACGAAAGCGUGGGGAGCAAACAGGAUUAGAUACCCUGGUAGUCCACGCCCUAAACGAUGUCUACUAGUUGUCGGGUCUUAAUUGACUUGGUAACGCAGCUAACGCGUGAAGUAGACCGCCUGGGGAGUACGGUUCGCAAGAUUAAAACGUCAAAGGAUUGACGG
rnacentral:rRNA from 1 species